rnacentral:rRNA from 1 species
CUUGGUCAUUUAGAGGAAGUAAAAGUCGUAACAAGGUCUCCGUUGGUGAACCAGCGGAGGGAUCAUUAAAAAGAGUUGUAAAAGACUCCCUAAACCCACUGUGAACUUACCUAUGUCGUUGCUUCGGCAGGCGGCCCCAGGGCGGGGCCACGGCCUUUUAGCUAAGGUGCCUGCCGGAGGUUUACCAAACUCAUGUUGCUAUUAUGUCGAUCAGAGUUUAAAAACAAAAUAAGUCAAAACUUUCAACAACGGAUCUCUUGGUUCUGGCAUCGAUGAAGAACGCAGCGAAAUGCGAUAAGUAAUGUGAAUUGCAGAAUUCAGCGAAUCAUCGAAUCUUUGAACGCACAUUGCGCCCGCUAGUAUUCUGGCGGGCAUGCCUGUUCGAGCGUCAUUUCAACCCCUCAAGCGGUACCCCCUGCUUGGUGUUGGGGCCCCUACGCCGCCCCGCGGCCGUAGGCCCUCAAAGUCAGUGGCGGGCCCGCCGCAACCCCGAGCGCAGUAGUAAUCUCCUCGCCCAGGGCGUUCGGCGGGCAUCCGGCCGUUAAACCCCCCCUAAAAUAUCAAAGGUUGACCUCGGAUCAGGUAGGAAUACCCGCUGAACUUAAGCAUAUCAAUAAGCGGAGGA